UUAAAUUGAAGAGUUUGAUCAUGGCUCAGAUUGAACGCUGGCGGCAGGCCUAACACAUGCAAGUCGAACGGUAACAGGAAGAAGCUUGCUUCUUUGCUGACGAGUGGCGGACGGGUGAGUAAUGUCUGGGAAACUGCCUGAUGGAGGGGGAUAACUACUGGAAACGGUAGCUAAUACCGCAUAACGUCGCAAGACCAAAGAGGGGGACCUUCGGGCCUCUUGCCAUCAGAUGUGCCCAGAUGGGAUUAGCUAGUAGGUGGGGUAACGGCUCACCUAGGCGACGAUCCCUAGCUGGUCUGAGAGGAUGACCAGCCACACUGGAACUGAGACACGGUCCAGACUCCUACGGGAGGCAGCAGUGGGGAAUAUUGCACAAUGGGCGCAAGCCUGAUGCAGCCAUGCCGCGUGUAUGAAGAAGGCCUUCGGGUUGUAAAGUACUUUCAGCGGGGAGGAAGGGAGUAAAGUUAAUACCUUUGCUCAUUGACGUUACCCGCAGAAGAAGCACCGGCUAACUCCGUGCCAGCAGCCGCGGUAAUACGGAGGGUGCAAGCGUUAAUCGGAAUUACUGGGCGUAAAGCGCACGCAGGCGGUUUGUUAAGUCAGAUGUGAAAUCCCCGGGCUCAACCUGGGAACUGCAUCUGAUACUGGCAAGCUUGAGUCUCGUAGAGGGGGGUAGAAUUCCAGGUGUAGCGGUGAAAUGCGUAGAGAUCUGGAGGAAUACCGGUGGCGAAGGCGGCCCCCUGGACGAAGACUGACGCUCAGGUGCGAAAGCGUGGGGAGCAAACAGGAUUAGAUACCCUGGUAGUCCACGCCGUAAACGAUGUCGACUUGGAGGUUGUGCCCUUGAGGCGUGGCUUCCGGAGCUAACGCGUUAAGUCGACCGCCUGGGGAGUACGGCCGCAAGGUUAAAACUCAAAUGAAUUGACGGGGGCCCGCACAAGCGGUGGAGCAUGUGGUUUAAUUCGAUGCAACGCGAAGAACCUUACCUGGUCUUGACAUCCACAGAACUUUCCAGAGAUGGAUUGGUGCCUUCGGGAACUGUGAGACAGGUGCUGCAUGGCUGUCGUCAGCUCGUGUUGUGAAAUGUUGGGUUAAGUCCCGCAACGAGCGCAACCCUUAUCCUUUGUUGCCAGCGGUCCGGCCGGGAACUCAAAGGAGACUGCCAGUGAUAAACUGGAGGAAGGUGGGGAUGACGUCAAGUCAUCAUGGCCCUUACGACCAGGGCUACACACGUGCUACAAUGGCGCAUACAAAGAGAAGCGACCUCGCGAGAGCAAGCGGACCUCAUAAAGUGCGUCGUAGUCCGGAUUGGAGUCUGCAACUCGACUCCAUGAAGUCGGAAUCGCUAGUAAUCGUGGAUCAGAAUGCCACGGUGAAUACGUUCCCGGGCCUUGUACACACCGCCCGUCACACCAUGGGAGUGGGUUGCAAAAGAAGUAGGUAGCUUAACCUUCGGGAGGGCGCUUACCACUUUGUGAUUCAUGACUGGGGUGAAGUCGUAACAAGGUAACCGUAGGGGAACCUGCGGUUGGAUCACCUCCUUACCUUAAAGAAGC
rnacentral:rRNA from 1 species